rnacentral:rRNA from 1 species
AUUGAACGCUGGCGGCAGGCCUAACACAUGCAAGUCGAACGAGUGGCGGACGGGUGAGUAAUGUCUGGGAACCUGCCUGGUGGCGGGGGAUAACUACUGGAAACGGUGGCUAAUACCGCAUACCAUCGGAUGUGCCCAUAUGGGAUUAGCUUGUUGGUGGGGUAACGGCUCACCAAGGCGACGAUCCCUAGCUGGUCUGAGAGGAUGACCAGCCACACUGGAACUGAGACACGGCCCAGACUCCUACGGGAGGCAGCAGUGGGGAAUAUUGGACAAUGGGCGAAAGCCUGAUGCAGCCAUGCCGCGUGUAUGAAGAAGGCCUUCGGGUUGUAAAGUACUUUCAGCGGGGAGGCGUUACCCGCAGAAGAAGCACCGGCUAACUCCGUGCCAGCAGCCGCGGUAAUUC